AAUGGGUGAGUGAAAAGGUAAGAGGUUUAUUAUGAAAUUGUGAAAUUGAUCUGUUAGAGGUAGGUUAUGUUAUUUUCUGUUAGGAGAGUGUCUUUGCAGGUACAUCAACAUUCCUAUGCUUGUAAGUAAGAUAUUAAUUUGUUUUUGCCUCUUUUUGAUUUAUUUUUUACUUCUUAUAGUAUGGAAAAAUGGUAAGGAAAAGGGUAAGAAUUUUGUAUUGCUAUUUUGUUAUUAUGAAAUUGUGAUGUUCUGAGGUAGGUAGGUAUUGCUAGUUAUUGCUGAACCAAAACAGGAGAAAAAGGGUUGCUACUCAAUCAGGUAAAGUAUGUGUUUUCUUAGUAGAAGUAGAACUUCCUAACUAUGAUUGGUUUUGUUUUCCUUUUUCACAAACUUGCCAUAACAAUAGACUUAUCCUGAAUUCCUGAUUUAUUAUUCAAGUUCUCAAUGGGAUACAUCGCUUACAUAUGUUCUUGCUUCAGUAUCACAUCCCUAUCCCUUGUUUGUCAAACCAGUGUUCUCAAU
rnacentral:lncRNA from 1 species